AAAGUCGUAACAAGGUUUCCGUAGGUGAACCUGCGGAAGGAUCAUUACAGAAUGUAACCUUUUGGUACACUCUUGUCAUCCCUUUGUCUACCUUCUCUGUUGCUUCCAUGGUGCCAGCCAACUUGGCUCUGGACAGGUGCUAAACCCACCUGUUUGGAAGUGCCCAUGGGUGUUCCCAUGCAUAAUGGGGAUAUUUAAAAUCUGAAAUUGUGAAACUGUCUGAACUGAUAUAAAAUCAAAAUAAAACUUUCAACAACGGAUCUCUAGGCUCUU
rnacentral:misc_RNA from 1 species